rnacentral:rRNA from 1 species
UACGUAGGGGGCGAGCGUUACCCGGAUUCACUGGGUGUAAAGGGAGCGUAGACGGCCAAGCAAGCCAGGGGUGAAAGCCCGGGGCCCAACCCCGGGACUGCCCUUGGAACUGCAUGGCUGGAGUGCGGGAGGGGCAGGCGGAAUUCCUGGUGUAGCGGUGAAAUGCGUAGAUAUCAGGAGGAACACCGGCGGCGAAGGCGGCCUGCUGGACUGCGACUGACGUUGAGGCUCGAAAGCGUGGGGAGCGAACAGG